rnacentral:rRNA from 1 species
UACGUAGGGGGCAAGCGUUGUCCGGAUUUAUUGGGCGUAAAGCGCACGCAGGCGGUCUCUUAAGUUUCGAGUGACAGGUCAGGGCUUAACUCUGACAGGCCUUGGAAAACUGGGGGACUUGAGGGCGAGAGAGGGACGCGGAAUUCCUGGUGUAGCGGUGAAAUGCGCAGAUAUCAGGAGGAACACCGGUGGCGAAGGCGGGUCUCUGGGCCGAUACUGACGCUGAGGAGCGAAAGCGUGGGGAGCGAACAGG